rnacentral:rRNA from 1 species
AUACGGAGGGGGCGAGCGUUGUUCGGAAUCAUUGGGCGUAAAGGGUGCGCAGGCGGCAUGCCAAGUCUGGUGUGAAAGGUCCCGGCUCAACCGGGGAAACGCAUUGGAAACUGGCGUGCUAGAGUACAGGAGGGGGAGUUGGAAUUCCAGGUGUAGGGGUGAAAUCUGUAGAUAUCUGGAAGAACACCGGUGGCGAAGGCGAACUUCUGGCCAUGUACUGACGCUGAGGCACGAAGGCGUGGGGAGCAAACAGGUUUAGAUACCCUGGUAGUCCACGCAGUAAACGAUGUACACUAGGUGGUGGGUGGUAGCACUCAGUACCGAAGCAAACGCAUUAAGUGUUCCGCCUGGGGAGUACGACCGCAAGGUUGAA